CUGCCAUUUGUAUGGAAUGCUUUAGGAAGUUUAGAAAGUUAGGAAGUAACUAGAUAUUCAUUCCAAUCAGAAAAGGAAAUUAAAUUAUUCACCCAGGCAGGGUGAUCGAGAGAAGGAGAGCAGUUGCUGAACUUUGCCACACUACCCUUUAGCUGCAGAACCGACAUUCACGUCUUAGCCACUUUGGGGGUAAACCAUGAAAGAUAAAGUGCAUAUGAUUAAUUUAGUGUUUAAUAAGAUUUCAGAGGGCAAAUUUAUUCCAGGCUCCACUGUUAAAGCUAAACUCUUUUUAAAAAUAUUUUUCUAGGCUUUUAAUUCAUCUUGCUUUUCAUAGUAUUCUGUCAUUUCCACUAUAGUUAAAUAUUUUGUGUUCCUAUUCAGUGUAGCUGGCAUGUUUGGAUUUGUGUACAUACACAAUGCUUGCAGAUAUGGGGCCUGAAGGACCGAUCCAGGUAAAGCAACUUAAUUGUUUAAAAAUGCCUGUGAGUGCUUUGUGAAGCUUUCAAAGGUUCUAAAAUGGCUGAGCCAAUUAGUAGAAAUUAGCAGUAGGAAUUGGAUGCUUUAGAAAGUCUCCAUGGGUCUCUGUUUCCAUCCUUAUGCCUGUGAGAAACAUUAAGUGCCUUAGGAUCUGAACCAAAGGUUCUGGAACUCUAAAGCAAAUACACAUUAGGUUUUGUGACUUGGAGGGGGAACCAGGCAGGGCACUCGUGUUUGGGCAGGACGUGCUGUGUGCAUCUAUCAGCUGAGUCAAUGCGCAUUGAACCCAACUGUGGCUUGGAACCAGGAUUGUAAAACUUUAGGAUGAUCUGGAAGAGAGAGGGGGGUGAAAUGGGACGAUAGCUUUACAAAGAUCUCACAGGUUAGGUGGCAGCAGUGUUUUUUUUUAAAAAAAUCUUGGUCAUUUUUGGUCUUUCCCUUGUCCCCAGUGGAGAUAUCCUGGGGUCUUCUGUUGGGAUCACAGAUUGCACUUCACAUUUUCAUCUGUGAAUGUAUCAAAAGCUUGCUGGAAAAUAGAGUAUUGCAAAUGUCUCUCCAGUCCUGCUCAAGGAAAAUCAUUCCUUGUUUCUUCUUCAGGACUACAUUUUACUCCUCCAUCCCUUCUCCAAUUGCAUCACUUAUUUCAUCCAUUCCAUCUACAAUAGAAAAACCUUCAGAUGAGUAGAGAAUAAGAUUUAAUAAAUGGAAAAUAAUUGUAAGCUAGAGCUUCAUGUUUGCCCACAUCAGAAAAAUUGCAUAAAUCUAGAGAGUAAAUUUGUUGGAUGCUGCUUAUUUUAUUCUCUCUGACCUAGACCCAAAUGUACUGCCUUGCCGGCAAGAUUACACUAGAGCUGGCCACAACCAGAUGUAUUUCAGCAAAAUAAUCUUAUAUUUACAAUACUGGUUUCAACCUUCAAAAACUUCAUGAAACUUUUUGAGAAAAUAUUUCUGAAAACCAUUCUUAGAGUUGGGGACUUGAAAUUUUCCAUACACCAUGUGCACAAGUACAACCCAGAAAUCUGCAGCAGUUCUCAGAUGAUCCUUAAGCUCCUUACCGAAAAGGGC
rnacentral:lncRNA from 1 species